AUGAUGGAGCGGGUGAAGGUGGUGCACGAAAAUAGUCAGGCUGCUUACGACGCCAGCGCGGCUCUUCGAGCCAAUGUCCAAAAAUUAUGUGCGCUUAUCUCUAAAUUCGUUGAAUUUGAGGAAAAGCAGAGGCAACUCAACCUUGACUUGGAGUUGGCCCAACAGAACUUUAAAAAGGCUCAAGAUGAAGCUGCUGGUAUGGAAGAGAAAAUGAGGCUGGCUCUGGCGAAGAAGGACCUUGACCUUGCAGAUGCGCAAAAGGAGGCUCAGGAGAAGGCUGCCCUUGCUGACAAAAAGCUGGCUUCGGUCGGAGCGCUAGAGGAGGAAAUAACCAAGCUGAAGUCGUCUCUUACUGAACCCAACCGAGAGGCGACUCGUCUGAAGAAGGAUAAGGUGACUCUGAACGAGCAGCUGGAAAGCAUGUCUCAUAGGAGAAACGACUUGGAAGCUUAUCUGAAAGCCCUCGCCAAGAAGCUCUUCCUUAUGCUCAAAGAAUUCUGCCAAAACUUUGAAGAGGAAACUGGACGGAUCGAGACGGGCUUGGAUCCCAUCCUUUCUCCAGUCGGCGAUGAGGCUGCCAUGAAUGUGCUUCAACUGGAAUCUCGCGUUGCUAGCGUUACCAGUUAUCUUGCUCGCUUGAAGGUGGUGACGUCACACAUUGAUACAUCACUCUGGCCAAGGGCAACGCUUCAGAAUGAUCUUGAGUCUCUGAUGACUCGACUCAAUGAGGUUCAUGGUCGAGUGCAGGAAUGGAAGAAGUCUUCUGCCUGA
rnacentral:rRNA from 1 species